CGUUCCCUCCUGCUACCACAAAGUGGGCCAUCCUUUCUGACUUGCUGUGGCAAUGGACUGAGGCCUCUGAGACCCUGAGUCAGAAGAGAACACACUUCCCUUGUUUCUAUCAGGCAUUGUCAUGAAGUAACCAAUGCAUUCCAGUGGAGAGAGUUUGAAAAUGAAAAGAAGUUACGACUCUGCAGAGGUUCCUCUAGGCUCCGAGGACAAUGGCGGUUUGAAAAAUUGAACUAAAAGUCAAGGUCAGAAGAUGGUGGCUGCCGCUGAGUUAAUGUGACACAGAGGAGAUGGAGACAAGGCACCACACUAAUGAAGUGAGGGUCAGGGAAGCAGAGAGGGCCAUUCCUGAAGGCGAACUGAACCCAACGAAAGUAGAUGAGAACAGCCACUCCUAAGAGCUUAUUCAGAUGGGGUUACAAAGGCAGCCAGCAGAUGGGAUAAUGGCACAUGUGCACCCUGAUUCAGGGUUUGCUCGCAUGUGCACAUCCUGAUUCGCCGUUCACUCACAACCUUUCCGUACAUUGCUCCAUGCAUUAUCUUGGCAACAGUUUUCAAGUGUGAUCCUACGGGUGCUUUAUUUCCAUCAAGUGCCAGCCAGCCAGGCUCAUCAACACUUCAGGUUGUUAAUACGGUUGAAAGCAUGUUGAAAGCAUGAUCCUCAUUCUUUCUACUACAGGACCCAGGAGUGCUGGUGAGGGAAAGCAGAGGUUUCACUCUGCAUAAGACCAUGAUCAAACUGUUUGCCAUUGUAAGCCUUACUUCUUUUAACUAAUGCAGCAGCAACAAUGCAAACCUUAGAUGAUGCCUGGGAACUUAUCGACAGACAAAUGAGGCCAGGCUCACUUUUAACUCUUUAUGUGUGUGAGUUCUAACCCCGACAGCAGUCUGAUGAUGGCAGAAUCAUAAAUUACAGAGGAGAGAACCGAGUGCAGAGAUCCAAGUCAUGCUCCACAGCCACUCAAUGGUAGAAGUGACACCAGAGACUCACUGCCACUCUGAAAUGCUCCAUCACUCUUGCUGAGGUUUACGGAGCUGACUGGCAGGUGGUUUCCUUUCGGCCAUUACCAGAGAGCCUGGGGCAGGGUUACAUUCAUGCCUCCUUUGCCAUCUCUGGGAGACAUAAUAAAUAUGGCAGCCAAAUGAAGCACUUUACUUGAGCAAUUCAAACAUACCAAUAGUUUGUUACAAGACAUCAGAAUCUCCAAAGCUAUGUUUUCUGUUUUUGUUUUUUUUUUAAAUUAUGAAUUACGUUCACGGACUAUUUUGAUGUUUGGAAAAAAAGUAUAGGAGCCAAUGGCUAUUAGCAGGGGAGAGAAAAUGAGAAGAGAAAUGAAUGGAAUUUAUUUAUAAGGAAAUUAAAAUAUGCUGUUGGUUGCAUGCAAAAUCAAAAGCCUUUAAUGAAACAAAGGACUGUAGGUAAUGGAUCAGUUAUGCGUGGGCAAAGCAGGCUAGUGGAUGGAGCAGGACUCUUUGGAGCCUUUCAAUUUCAACCUCCGGCCGUCGCUUAUUCGUUAUGCAUGAAUAAAGGUAUUACUAAACUCC
rnacentral:lncRNA from 1 species